rnacentral:lncRNA from 1 species
UUCCCCCUCGCGGGCCUCGGCGAGGUGCCGAGCGAUGUGGAUGAGCCUGGAGGAGGUGCUGGUGGCCAACGUGCUGUGAGUGACGAAGUGGACCAACCCCUUCUUCGUGCUACAGCGGCGCCGGGGCCACGGCAAGGGCGGAGGCCUCAAGGGUCUUCUCUUGGGCACCCUGGAUGUGGUGCUGAACUCCAGUGCCUGUGUGGCCCCUUACCACAUCCUGCAUGAGACUCAGGACUCCCAGAUCUACUGGACAGUGGCCUGUGGUAGGUGCCCAUAGUUGUGAGGGG